rnacentral:lncRNA from 1 species
UUUUAUUUUUGACCCUGCAUUCUUAUAAUAUAAAACUCAAAUCAAUUUUUAGGCCAUCAUCAUUUCUCAUUUUGGGUCUGUUUAUAAGUUUUAGGAGCUAAACACAAUUGUAUAUCUUCGAAUCAAGUUUAGAGCUUAAAAGUUGUACUUUAUGAUCCAUAAGUUGUACCCUUGCUGAUAUUAACUCGAAAAGAACAACACCAAAUGCAUAUACAUCACUUUUUGUUGUAGCUAAACCAUCCCUGAGGUAUCUGUGAUGACAUGCCAAAUUCAAGUAAGAUACCUUGGCUUUGAAGGCACUGUCAAGUAAAAUGUUGCUUGUUUUAACAUCUCUAUGGACAUAAUGAGGCUUAGUGUGCUCAUGUAUGUAUUCCAGCCCCCUUGCCGUG